rnacentral:rRNA from 1 species
UGAGGAAUAUUGGUCAAUGGGUGCAAGCCUGAACCAGCCAUCCCGCGUGAAGGACGACUGCCCUAUGGGUUGUAAACUUCUUUUGUAUAGGGAUAAACCUACCCUCGUGAGGGUAGCUGAAGGUACUAUACGAAUAAGCACCGGCUAACUCCGUGCCAGCAGCCGCGGUAAUAUCAC